rnacentral:misc_RNA from 1 species
GCAAACUUGGUCAUUUAGAGGAAGUAAAAGUCGUAACAAGGUUUCCGUAGGUGAACCUGCGGAAGGAUCAUUACUGAAACGAGUUCUUGAAAGAGUUGUAGCUGGCCUCCUAUGAGGCAUGUGUAACACUCGACUCAUCUACUCUAUAAAUCCUAUGUGCAGAAGUCGUAAAGACUUAGUGUGUAAUAAUAUAUGUGGUUUAUUAUAUUUAUAUUAAUCUAAAGUUCGCAAGACUUGGAUUAAUAGCACACUUUUUCUUAUGCGCAUUUUUUUAAUACACGCUUUAGUCAUAGAAUGUUUACUCUUUGCAUUGAACACAAUGCAUUAUAUAAAUAUAUAUAACUUUCAGCAACGGAUCUCUUGGCUCUCGCAUCGAUGAAGAACGCAGC